UUAAAGUUUAACAUUCAUUAUGUGUGUUUGAGAAAUAAGGGAAGGACUCUGUCACCUUGCUGUGUGAAUCUUUGGAAUAACUUGUUUCCUUACCCUGAGUUUCUCGUAGCGGUCGCUCAGUGCUGCCACCUGGUGGUCCCUGUGCCGUCCGACCAGUUUGCACAGCGAGCAGAUGAGCUGGUCGUCGCUGACACAGUACAUGUUCACCUUCUCCUCCUCGUGCUCCAGACACUGGAGCCCCCUGAGGUGGGAGUCCUGCAAGGGCUCGAUGAGCCUGUGUCCGGUGAACGGCUUCUUGUUUGGAAAAACAAAGACUGCUGCCCAGAUGAGCUGCAGGAUCAGAAAACGGACGUCCGUGCACGAAUAAAACGUAAAGAUUCAUCAUGAAGACUCAACAAAUGCACUGUGGCGUCUUCUGGUGGCCUGCUGGACUGUGAGGACCCAGUGAUCACUGGAGACAAAGACCCUCUGCUGGAGUCUGCAUAACGUCAUGAGGAGCACCAGGCUGAGGUGAAGUGCAGAUUCUCUAAAGAAACUGUUGUGUGAUUUUUCUACCUCUGACCUAUCCUGUCCACAGCUUCCUACCACCGUGGAGCAGAGGCGCCGGGACAACCACCAGGGUGGUCAUCAGGGAUUACAGGAGGAGGGGGGGGCACUCAGAGGUUGAGACUGUGGAAAGUUUCGAAUAUGCAAUACCUCUGAGGUCGUCAUAAAGCAGAAUACAGACUGUACGGCCUCAGGCGCUGUAAGAAAUUCAACCUGAGGCCCCGAAUCCUUCCUCUAAGGGGACACCACAGAGAGCCUCCUGGACCAUGAGGCGCAUAUUUUCUGAUGUGCUGUCUUUGUAAGUUUGAAUUUACCCACAUUCAGAAUAAGAAUAAAACUUCUUGAAGCUCAAA